GGUUAAGCGACUAAGCGUACACGGUGGAUGCCCUGGCAGUCAGAGGCGAUGAAGGACGUGCUAAUCUGCGAUAAGCGUCGGUAAGGUGAUAUGAACCGUUAUAACCGGCGAUUUCCGAAUGGGGAAACCCAGUGUGAUUCGUCACACUAUCAUUAACUGAAUCCAUAGGUUAAUGAGGCGAACCGGGGGAACUGAAACAUCUAAGUACCCCGAGGAAAAGAAAUCAACCGAGAUUCCCCCAGUAGCGGCGAGCGAACGGGGAGCAGCCCAGAGCCUGAAUCAGUGUGUGUGUUAGUGGAAGCGUCUGGAAAGGCGUGCGAUACAGGGUGACAGCCCCGUACACAAAAAUGCACAUACUGUGAGCUCGAUGAGUAGGGCGGGACACGUGGUAUCCUGUCUGAAUAUGGGGGGACCAUCCUCCAAGGCUAAAUACUCCUGACUGACCGAUAGUGAACCAGUACCGUGAGGGAAAGGCGAAAAGAACCCCGGCGAGGGGAGUGAAAAAGAACCUGAAACCGUGUACGUACAAGCAGUGGGAGCACGCUUAGGCGUGUGACUGCGUACCUUUUGUAUAAUGGGUCAGCGACUUAUAUUCUGUAGCAAGGUUAACCGAAUAGGGGAGCCGAAGGGAAACCGAGUCUUAACUGGGCGUUAAGUUGCAGGGUAUAGACCCGAAACCCGGUGAUCUAGCCAUGGGCAGGUUGAAGGUUGGGUAACACUAACUGGAGGACCGAACCGACUAAUGUUGAAAAAUUAGCGGAUGACUUGUGGCUGGGGGUGAAAGGCCAAUCAAACCGGGAGAUAGCUGGUUCUCCCCGAAAGCUAUUUAGGUAGCGCCUCGUGAAUUCAUCUCCGGGGGUAGAGCACUGUUUCGGCAAGGGGGUCAUCCCGACUUACCAACCCGAUGCAAACUGCGAAUACCGGAGAAUGUUAUUACGGGAGACACACGGCGGGUGCUAACGUCCGUCGUGAAGAGGGAAACAACCCAGACCGCCAGCUAAGGUCCCAAAGUCAUGGUUAAGUGGGAAACGAUGUGGGAAGGCCCAGACAGCCAGGAUGUUGGCUUAGAAGCAGCCAUCAUUUAAAGAAAGCGUAAUAGCUCACUGGUCGAGUCGGCCUGCGCGGAAGAUGUAACGGGGCUAAACCAUGCACCGAAGCUGCGGCAGCGACGCUUAUGCGUUGUUGGGUAGGGGAGCGUUCUGUAAGCCUGUGAAGGUGUGCUGUGAGGUAUGCUGGAGGUAUCAGAAGUGCGAAUGCUGACAUAAGUAACGAUAAAGCGGGUGAAAAGCCCGCUCGCCGGAAGACCAAGGGUUCCUGUCCAACGUUAAUCGGGGCAGGGUGAGUCGACCCCUAAGGCGAGGCCGAAAGGCGUAGUCGAUGGGAAACAGGUUAAUAUUCCUGUACUUGGUGUUACUGCGAAGGGGGGACGGAGAAGGCUAUGUUGGCCGGGCGACGGUUGUCCCGGUUUAAGCGUGUAGGCUGGUUUUCCAGGCAAAUCCGGAAAAUCAAGGCCGAGGCGUGAUGACGAGGCACUACGGUGCUGAAGCAACAAAUGCCCUGCUUCCAGGAAAAGCCUCUAAGCAUCAGGUAACAUCAAAUCGUACCCCAAACCGACACAGGUGGUCAGGUAGAGAAUACCAAGGCGCUUGAGAGAACUCGGGUGAAGGAACUAGGCAAAAUGGUGCCGUAACUUCGGGAGAAGGCACGCUGAUACGUAGGUGAAGCGACUUGCUCGUGGAGCUGAAAUCAGUCGAAGAUACCAGCUGGCUGCAACUGUUUAUUAAAAACACAGCACUGUGCAAACACGAAAGUGGACGUAUACGGUGUGACGCCUGCCCGGUGCCGGAAGGUUAAUUGAUGGGGUUAGCGCAAGCGAAGCUCUUGAUCGAAGCCCCGGUAAACGGCGGCCGUAACUAUAACGGUCCUAAGGUAGCGAAAUUCCUUGUCGGGUAAGUUCCGACCUGCACGAAUGGCGUAAUGAUGGCCAGGCUGUCUCCACCCGAGACUCAGUGAAAUUGAACUCGCUGUGAAGAUGCAGUGUACCCGCGGCAAGACGGAAAGACCCCGUGAACCUUUACUAUAGCUUGACACUGAACAUUGAGCCUUGAUGUGUAGGAUAGGUGGGAGGCUUUGAAGUGUGGACGCCAGUCU
rnacentral:rRNA from 1 species